rnacentral:rRNA from 1 species
GACAGAGGUCCCGAGCGUUAGGCGGAAUCACUGGGCUUAAAGCGUGUGUAGGCGGAGUGCUAAGUACCUUGUGAAAUCCCACGGCUCAACCGUGGAACUGCUUGGUAUACUGGUUCUCUUGAGCCACCUAGGGGCAACCGGAACAAACGGUGGAGCGGUGAAAUGCGUAGAUAUCGUUUGGAACGCCAAUGGUGAAAACAGGUUGCUGGGGGUGUGCUGACGCUGAGACACGAAAGCGUGGGGAGCAAACCGG